CGCACCUUGCGCUCCUUGGUAUUCCGAGGAGCAUGCCUGUUUGAGUGUCAUGUAAUCCUCAAUCCCUUUCAGUUUUUACUGAUUGAGAUUGGAUCUUGGAGGUUGCUGGUUAAUUCUUUAAUCAGCUCCUCUUAAAUGCAGUAGUGUGAACCCUUGCUCAAGUGUUCUCCAGUGUAAUAAUCAUUUGCGCUGCUAGAAACUUGGCAUUUACAGUGAUUCAUGCUUCCAACCAUCCCUUGUGGGAUAAUAUACUUUGCAUUUGACCUCAAAUCAGGUAGGACUACCCGCUGAACUUAA
rnacentral:misc_RNA from 1 species